rnacentral:tRNA from 1 species
ACUUAAUUAGUUUAUAUUAAAAUAAUAAUUUGUGGAAUUAUAGAUGUUUGUAACAUUAGGUA